GGGCUUAUAGCUUAGUGGUAAAGCGAGCGACUCUUAAUCGUUAUACUGUAGUUCGAUUCUACGCAGGCCUA
rnacentral:tRNA from 1 species